rnacentral:rRNA from 1 species
CCGAGUUUACAACUCCCAAACCAAUGUGAACGUUACCAAACUGUUGCCUCGGCGGGAUCUCUGCCCCGGGUGCGUCGCAGCCCCGGACCAAGGCGCCCGCCGGAGGACCAACCAAAACUCUUAUUGUAUACCCCCUCGCGGGUUUUUUUUAUAAUCUGAGCCUUCUCGGCGCCUCUCGUAGGCGUUUCGAAAAUGAAUCA